rnacentral:rRNA from 1 species
AAUGAACGUUGGCGGCGUGGAUUAGGCAUGCAAGUCGAGCGAGAACCCAGCAAUGGGGGACAGCGGCGCAAGGGACAGUAAUGUGUAGAUCAUCUGCCCUCAGGCCCGGGAUAGCUGCGGGAAACUGCAGGUAAUACCGGAUAACAUCUCCGGAUCAAAGGUGUGAUUCCGCCUGAGGAUGAGUCUACAUCCUAUUAGCUAGUUGGCAGGGUAACGGCCUACCAAGGCGAUGAUGGGUAGCGGGUGUGAGAGCACGACCCGCGUCAUUGGGACUGAGACACUGCCCAGACACCUACGGGUGGCUGCAGUCGAGAAUCUUCGGCAAUGGGCGCAAGCCUUACCGGGCGACGCCGCGUGCGGGAUGAAGGCCUUCGGGUUGUAAACCGCUGUCAGAGGGGAUGAAAUACAGGUGGGUUCUCCCAUCUGUUUGACAUAGCCUCAGAGGAAGGACGGGCUAAGUUCGUGCCAGCCGCCGCGGUAACAC